UACAGUAAAGACUGGAUAAGCGCAAGAAAAUUUCCAAACAUUGCAAACGUAGAAAAUGACAGAGAAGAACCCACCAAGUGGCGAGGAUAGUCAUCUUGCAUUUAUCCAGUGAAUCCUGUCUUGCACUUAUUCAGUUUUUACUAUAGAAAGCUGCAAGGAUCGGUACGGUACGAGAUGCACCCCGUGGAAAGACUAGAUCCCGAAAAACCCGGAACCCUCGUCUGCUCCGUUCACGCAGCCAAAGCCACGUGCGUGGCCUGCCCUAACCAUUCCCACGUGUCGCUGCAACGGGGCGUUUCGCGCCAAUUCCCAUCGUGCGUGACACGUCACGUUCGAUUGGAAUCGCUCGGAGUUUGUAAACAGACCUCGCCACGAAGAACGACGAAGAAGAAGCCGCGAAAACCUCGUGGCUGAGCGUGUCUAAAACCAUCGACGCGUACGAGCGUUCCGAGCGUUCUCGCUCCUCGUGAAUGACGCCUCCGCUGGUUCUUUCUGGUUCGAGCAGCCAUUCACCGAAUCGUCGACGCCGGGGUCCGGACCGGUUCGAACCGGUAUGCCCGACGGAGUCUCGGUUGGCUCGAUUAGCGCUUAGCAAUUAUUGAAUACCCAGCCGCUCGACGAUAACGUUCCGCGCUUUUAUUCUCACUUCCUCGAUCGAGACUCGAUCUCACGGGUCUGUUCAAUCGGUUCACGCGUACGGACUUGACUCGCGUCGGGUGGAGUGAGCUAUGGUGGAUACUACGAACCCUGGUGGAUACAGUGAACAGGAGUAUAGCUGCACGCGGGUGCAAGUUCGGAUUGUUUCCUCGCGAGAAGAACAUGGCGACGUGGCGAGACUACUGGGACGUCGCGCAACAUCGAGAAGCCGACCAAGGGAGCGUGCGAGCGGAAAAAAACGUAGCGCAGCCGGCAUUUAAAUAAUCAAGAAGCAGUGCACGGAUGCGAGAGGGAAUUAGACGCUAAAGAAGUUUAAAAGGGCCAAUAUACAGGGCGGGCUCCUUCCCAGGAAUUAUGGUCCCUGGGCCGCGUGGGCUGACCCCUCCGGUGUUCUCGUCGUCUCGCGGAAGUCCGCCAUUAAAACAGCUGGAUCGAGCCAGAUCUCGCGAGACGAAUCUUGCCUCUUCACUGUCACGGGUUUGACCUCGAUCUCGGAUAUCCUCGAGGCGCGGACCGUGCCGUAUCCUCGGGACCUCGCGAGGAUAUUCGACGUCCAAUAAAACGUGCCGCGAUCCUGCGGGACGUGUUUACAACGGAAACACCCGCUAUCUUCCUCGCUCUUUCCGAAAACAACGGGGGCUCGUAACACGAAUUCUGGAAGGCGUGGCAGCUGUAUGUACAAAGCCACUGGCAAAUAUCCUUCGCGUGAUCCAACCCCCCUGCUCCUUCGAAGGAUCCUGGUUAGAGCAUUCUCAAACUCUAAUUUUAUUAAAAAUUUUCUUUCGCGUCCCCCCACCCCCACCCCCUCCCCCAGGCAACGCCUGAACCAGCGGUUCACUGUUUUACGGGAUCGUCGACAUCGUCGUUCGUUGCAAAAGGGCCGUCGCGAACCUUGAAGUCAACUACGAACGUUGCAUACCGUGGCGAUACACGUAAACGCUGUCUAACCGUGCGACGACGGAAAGAAUCGAAAUUAAACCAAACGGAAAAUGUCGAGAGACAGUUCCCAUCGAAAUCUCAUUCUCGUCCGACGGCUGUAUCGUUGAAAGCAAACACGCCCUGGAAAAUCACGUGCGCGCGAUGUACGUGGAAAUUUAUAUUUUAUACGGGACGAGAACAUCUCUUUGCAAUUUCCACAGUGUCCUGAACCCGGGAUGAUAUCGAGAUCGAUCAAGCUUCCGUCUAUUUCUCGAGAUGUCGACAGGUUGAAAAUAGAUUCAUCGUGUCGCGCGUACGUGCGCGACGUGAUUCAAAUCGGGUAGAAAACCUAAUCGAAACACGAGUGCGUUCGACGAUAUCGAAUGAACGUUGACCGAGUCCGAUCGUCGAUCGAACCGAGACCGUCGCUAAGAUGACCUAUAACGAGACCGUAACUACGAUAGACUAUCGACUCGAGAGAAGGACGACAACGUUGAAAGAUGGAUAAUUUCGCGACGACGAUACCGAAGCAGGCAGAAGAGGAAUUGGACGAGGAAAUACAGUGGAACGGACUGGAAGCGUGUGCACGGCCCCCUGACACACAUCGACUUGUUAAAAUAACGACAUAAUGGCUAAUUUAGCGAUAAUAAGCGCGAACCGUAUCGUUCAAAUUAGCGUCGAAGGUGAGACGAGACCGACAAGGAGAGACGUUCGAGGAGCAAGAAAAAAAAAGAGACGAGAGAAACGUCGGACAGACGUGUCAGAACUUCUACCGCAUUACGCUAUUUUCGUACAACUCCUGUCAUCUGGCGGUCACUCCACGAAACACUUUACCGAGUCAGGGACGUAACGCGACGAUCGACUUUAGUGGACUCUAUGAAUUAAAAAGCGAGCUAAUUAUGUUCCAGUGGCAUUUUCAGAAAGAAAUUGCGAAAGGAAAAAUGAUGAAAUAAAAAGUUGAACGUCUAACUUGCGCGCAAUCUCGGCCAGCGAUAUAAAAAAAAACGGUUGUUACCCCGUCGAAGUCAACGAUCUUGAACAAAAACAUUCGCGAUGGUCAAGGGAAGUAAUUGUCAGUAGCGUACAUAUUUCAACGAUCGGGACGAUCUCGAUCGCGUGUUGUACACUGGCGAUUUUUCGUCGGGUCGCCGGACAUUAGCUUACACAGCUAAUCGGCAUUGUCGUCGCCGUUUCCGAAGGGACAGCAAUUUUCUUUUAUUAUAGCUUCUAUUAUGCGGACGAUUCAUCCGUGGACCCCUGAAAUUUAGGGCGAACCUCGUGAUACAUAAAAAUAAGGCUGCUAUACGCGUUCAAUCCGUGGCAACCUGCCAAGAUAAAAACACAUUCGUAGAAACCUAUUCUAAGCUCGAAACUGCGCCGUAUAAGGAAACUUGUCAACGUUUGAAAACAAAUUUCGAAAGCGCAACAUUUGUCCGGUAUAACUAGAGGGCAGUACGGAUUGCGAAACAAAGAGGCAGGAAAUAUUUUCAUAUGUGGUCGUUGGUCACGAACUUUCCGUGGAGAGGGAUAGGAAAGUAGGCUGUGCAACAUUUCUAGGGGAUUUUAUUGCCUGUCACUUCGCCUUCUCCCGUGGGAUGGCAAUCGUUGCCGACACACUCAGGCCUUGACAUGAAUCUGUACAGUAAAAUUUGUCAAAUAUCUGUCUCAUCCUCCUACCGGAGUCAUAUUUGGUUAAAUUUUGUUUGGAAACAAAUUUACCGAAUACUAUUUCGUAUCGUAUUAUCGAGAAACGUGGAAAAUAACACGCUUUGUUGAUUCCAUACUGAACGAAUUCUAACAGUACUGUAGCAUGCUUAUCCUCGUAAACAAGAACGCGACCUCUGAGCAUUUUCAUUUUUCCGGUUGACUGUAGACAAAAAUGCGCGGAAUCGUAUUCGAAUGUAACCAUAAAUUAUACUGUUGUAUUUCAUUUUGCGGUUGAAUAAUAUUUCUUAUUUCACGGAUACAGGAUCAUUCGUCGCGAAUGUACGAUUACACGAAUGAUACUCCUCUAUGGAACACUCAUCGCAAUUAACCAUAUCAGUAGGUAUUCACUUUUUUUCUGUCACAAUUAGUAACAUUACUAAUUAGUAAGAACGGCGUAACUUUAGUCGCGAACAUCGAGCUGGCCCAUUCGGCUACUUUUAUUGUACAAAGUCUACGACCCUGUACAUGUAAACGUUAUUAAACGUUGUUAAAGAAAAUAAAAUAUGCAAAGAGACGAGACGGA